UAUGAUCAACAGCUGUAAAUAAACACAAUUGAAAACAAACCCUUCGCUUUCUUCUCCUGAAUCCCUCUCUCUUUUGUGCGGCUCUUCCGCUUUCCUUUCUAGAGAGAGAGAGAAUCUAUCAUAUCAAUUAAUCUUUGUUCGUUACAGUUAUUUUCAUUAUUCAUUUGAAUAACAAUGGCGUCUCCUCAAUUUUCAUUUGGAUUCGGAGUUGUUGUAAUCUUUGCAACUCUCAUUUUUGCUGUUCAUGCUCAAACUCCAGCCCCUGCACCUUCUCCUACUAGCGAUGGUAUUUCUUUUUUUCUCUCUCUUUCAUAUCUAACAUCGAAAUUACGUCGUUUUCUGAUUGUCACAUUCUAUAUAUAUAUAUAUAUAUAUGUAUUACGAUUUUGGUUUAAUUGUUUUUAUAUCUAUUCAAAUGUAGUUUUAUUUAAUGUUUGAUUUAUUUCACAUGGAAAUUAGAAACGUUACUUAAUCAUCUUGAUUACUUAACCACGACGUUGGAUGGAUGAGUUUGUGCGCUAUUUUAUAGUGUCGUUUCAUCGAUCCAAUCAAUCAUUCGGGUUUAUAACAAGAAUCAAUGAUUGUUUGCAUAGAAUGGUGUAUGAUGGAGAACGUAAAAAGAACUUACACUUUGGUAGGUUUAAGGGGGGAAAAAGGUUAAGGAAAGAAAAGAUGAAAGGAGAAAAUGAGUUGAAUAUAUGGUGGUUUUUCAUUAUUUGGUAAGGUAGUUAAUGGAAAGAAAGUGAAGAGAAAAAUAUCAAUAUCAUUAAUAAUGACAGAAUGUGUUGGUUUUUUUUUUGAAAUUUUAGGAAAUUAGUGACACCCUACUUUUGACAACAGUAAACAGAAAUUGCUGUUGCUAAAUAUCCAUGUACUAGUGUUAUUUUGUAUUUAUAUCCUUUUUAUAUUUUUGCAUCCUAAGCUUGGAUUAUAUUGGCUUUGUUCAUAUGACUUUCAAAAGACAUGACUUUCAUUGCACUAGAAGGAAGAUGGAGUAUGUAAAAUGUAUGUUUCACAAGAGGUACAAUAAACCAAACUUGAAGAAAACGAACAAGCAAAUAAAUUUAAUGUGGCAAAAAACAGAGAGUAUUACGUUGGGCAUUAUAUCAGAUACUUAGAGAAAGAAAGUUGAGAUAACAUUAAUGUAGAAAAAAUAUAGAUCGUGCCUUUCUGAGGUUUGCACAUAUUUGGAAAAGCAUUGGUAAGGUAACUAUAUCAGAUGGAAGGUGUCUCAAUUGUAAGUGGUAUAGAGGUCAAUAACUUGUCUAUUGACAUGAUUUAUUAUUGAAUAUUAUAACUCCCUUUAAACUAUGCAGCGGAUUCCCUUUAAUAUAAUAGUUCUUCAUUUACUUUACUAUUGUUUUGUUUUGGGUUUUCCAGGGUCGAUUAUUGAUCAAGGGAUAGCGUAUGUGCUGAUGCUGUUGGCUCUGGUGCUAACAUACCUCAUUCACUAGGCUGAUCUGAAUUUCAACAACAAAAAACACAUGGGUGCUUCACAAGGGGUGUUGUGUUUGUUAACAUUAAGAUGUUGGCACAUUAUGGUGCAAUAAGUGGGAAAUGUAAGAUUUGGGAGGAAAGUUAAUACUUAGGGAAGGUGUUAUUUUCGUUUUCUCGGUCAAGAACGUGAUCUGUGCCAUUAGAGACUUGUGAUCGUGGUUGGGACUAAUGUCACGUUCAUUUAUGUGACGUUUAUUCUAAACCAUGUUAGUGAUGUAUUUCUUAGCAAUAAUUAAUGUUUGUUAUGAUUUUGGCUUAUUGAUUGGCAAGAUUGAUUUACAAUCAGGAAUGAUAGUCCUCAAUGAAAACAC
rnacentral:lncRNA from 1 species